GACGAACGCUGGCGGCGUGCUUAACACAUGCAAGUCGAACGGAAAGGCCCUGCUUUUGUGGGGUGCCCGAGUGGCGAACGGGUGAGUAACACGUGAGUAACCUGCCCUUGGCUUUGGGAUAACUUCAGGAAACUGGGGCUAAUACCGGAUAGGAGCUCCUGCUGCAUGGUGGGGGUUGGAAAGUUUCGGCGGUUGGGGAUGGACUCGCGGCUUAUCAGCUUGUUGGUGGGGUAGUGGCUUACCAAGGCUUUGACGGGUAGCCGGCCUGAGAGGGUGACCGGCCACAUUGGGACUGAGAUACGGCCCAGACUCCUACGGGAGGCAGCAGUGGGGAAUAUUGCACAAUGGGCGGAAGCCUGAUGCAGCAACGCCGCGUGCGGGAUGACGGCCUUCGGGUUGUAAACCGCUUUCGCCUGUGACGAAGCGUGAGUGACGGUAAUGGGUAAAGAAGCACCGGCUAACUACGUG
rnacentral:rRNA from 1 species